rnacentral:rRNA from 1 species
GACGAACGCUGGCGGCGUGCCUAAUACAUGCAAGUAGAACGCUGAAGAGAGGAGCUUGCUCUUCUUGGAUGAGUUGCGAACGGGUGAGUAACGCGUAGGUAACCUGCCUUGUAGCGGGGGAUAACUAUUGGAAACGAUAGCUAAUACCGCAUAACAAUGGAUGACACAUGUCAUUUAUUUGAAAGGGGCAAUUGCUCCACUACAAGAUGGACCUGCGUUGUAUUAGCUAGUAGGUGAGGUAACGGCUCACCUAGGCGACGAUACAUAGCCGACCUGAGAGGGGGAUCGGCCACACUGGGACUGAGACACGGCCCAGACUCCUACGGGAGGCAGCAGUAGGGAAUCUUCGGCAAUGGGGGCAACCCUGACCGAGCAACGCCGCGUGAGUGAAGAAGGUUUUCGGAUCGUAAAGCUCGGUUGUAAGUCAAGAACGAGUGUGAGAGUGGAAAGUUCACACUGUGACGGUAGCUUACCAGAAAGGGACGGCUAACUACGUG